AAUUAGUCAUUGUUUACACGCAGAACAGAGUUGAGAUACUUUGCAAAAAUGCCUCUGCCACCGUAGUGAGGAUCGAUGUUUAAUUCACGCCAAUGAACAUUUUAAAAUACGAAAGGCUGCCCGCUGUCCGUCAAGAAUAUCCGAUCGCGCAUUAUAUUUACUAGAUCGAAAGAAGAGUUCACUGCAUCAAGCGUUCGCUGGCAAAUGGCACAAAGGUCAGCCUCUUGGCCAACUUAGGACAAGAAACCCCUUGUUUCCAUGCACAUCUUGCAGGAGAUCAACAUUACCGCGUUUUAGGCUGAACACUCUGCGAUCCGGAUCACUGUCAACGUCGUCGUUCCGCGGAGCUGCAGCGUCUGCCGCAGAUCGCCGACAUCCAUGCCAUGCGCAAUCACACGUGUCUGCACAGUCGCAGGAAGUGUUUCCCACUCUAAAUCACUUGACUCUCAUUCACUUUCACACAAUUCGACUUUGGCGCGCAGCUCCAUCGAUUAUCCAGUCGAUAGUAUCGAUGGCCGAGCUGCUUCCUUCGAAACGGUUAUUGGCUCUUUUCAAAUCGGUUAAUGCACUCUUUUUCGCUUUCUUUGAACAAUGAGUCUUAUUCCAUACUUUUAAAUGAUGUACUUAUAUACUCUACUUUGAUCGACUUAUGGUGGUGAUUGGAACUGCAUUUCCCAACCAUUGAAAAGGUGAACCCAACGGAAAAUGUACGUGAUUUUCAUAUUCAGGAGCUGAAACAGAUUCAGAAUGUUUUUUGGCGAAAAGUGAACUUUGGCCCAGCCCUGAAUGUUUGGUUGAAUAGUUGAAAACUAGAGACAAGAGUGUCGCUAAGGGUGAAUAUGCCUCAACUAUUGGGGAAUAUUAACACGACACAUCCAAACAUUCUGUCCGUGGUCGUUUCUGCCUUCAUGCCAUAUUGGUCAGUUUUACUGACCCAGGACGGACUGGUAUACACCACUUAUAAUAUGUCCAUAUAAACUUAUUUUUACAUUUUUGGUUUGGGUUUGUACUGGAUUUUCCGUGGUUUAACCCAAGUUGGUCGCCUUUUCAAAUAGAGGCGGGUUAGGUGAGCUAAGAUUGUGUUUUUCAUCGGUAUAUAGUGGUAUAUUUUGUUAAUUUUAUCAAUCCAAUAAAAGCAAGUGUUUACAAUA